CCAGCAGCCGCGGUAAUUCCAGCUCCGCAAGUGUAUUCCUAUACUGUUGCGUUUAAAUAGCUCGUAGUUGCAUCUGCGUGUUUAGCGCGCGGUGCCAUUUGUUUUGGUUACUGUGUCGCGGCACUUUAGUGCUUGUUGCUACGGUGCUUUUGUGAGUGCCGUGGUCAUGAGCGAAGUUUACUUUGAACAAAUCAGAGUGCUCAAAACGGGCGUUUGGCUCGGAUGUUCUUGCAUGGAAUAAUGGAAUAGGACCGCGCGUUCUAUUUUGUUGGUUUUCGGGACGCGGGUAAUGAUUAAGAGGGACAGACGGGGGCAUUUGUACUGCGACGUGAGAGGUGAAAUUCUUGGAUCGUCGCAAGACAG
rnacentral:rRNA from 1 species